rnacentral:misc_RNA from 1 species
UCGAUCAUGAAUCUUGCUGCUACCAAUUCAUUUUUCUAUUUUUCUUCUCUUUAUGAUGUGAUUUGAUGAAUAAGCCCUGAAUAUUACUCGAUCAGAAUUUUUGUGAUUUACAUGGGUGAUUGGUGUGUCUUUGCUUUGCAAGCAGUGCAUAUCAUGAUUAAUAGCGUAAUGGUGUUGGUUAAAAGCAAUCUGGUUCAGCAUUGCAUGCAUGAUUGAUUGCAAGCAUUGGUUGGUCUUCAUUUUUCUGUGGCACUUGAAGAAUGUAGAUUUAGCUGCUGUUUUGUCAUUAUCUAUUUCUGAGCAAACAACAAAAAGGAGUCAUGAAAGCUUUACGCAUUGCUUUUCUCUUAUUUUAAUUAAUGUUCAUGUUUUCUGUCAAUACAGUCAAGUAAUUUUUUUUUAUAGAUGACUUCAAACAAUUGGAGAUCUUUGCCAUUACUUUUUACAAUUUUUCUUUCCAAAAUGUUCUGUUGUGUUAGAGAAAUACUGUAUGCUGUUAUUAGGGUCAGUUCGCGACUUCAUGUUCAUCUUUAUAGAUCUGGUUUGACCCCUUUUUUGGUCCGAUCUUUUGCAAAGUUGUUUUUCAUUUUCAUAGUGCACUCGAGUGCCUUGUUGUCUAGUGAAAUAAAUUUCCUGUGUUUUACUAAGGUUAUCGAUUCUUUUGUGCUAGCAUUAUACAUCAAGCAUAUAGAAAACCUUUAAUCUUGUCAGAUUUAGGAUAUUCCUGAAGAAUGUUUUUGAUGUUUUGAAACCAAUUAAUGAUUCUUGGACUUGUGAUCACAUCAAUAUAGGGAUAAUUGGGAAGAUGGAAA